CAGUUUCAGUCUUGUUGCCCAGGCUGGAGUACAAUGGCAUGAUCUCGGCUCACCACAACCUCCGCCUCCCAGGUUCAAGUGGUUGUCCUGCCUCAGCCUCCCUAGUAGCUGGUAUUACAGGCAUGUGUCACCACACCCGGCUAAUUUUUGUAUUUUUAGUAGAGACAGGGUUUCUCCAGGUUGGUCAGGCUGGUCUCGAACUCCUGACCUCUGGUGAUCUGCCCACCUCGGCCUCCCAAAGUGCUGGGAUUACAGGUGUGAGCCAC
rnacentral:lncRNA from 10 species